GAUGAAGAACGCAGCGAAAUGCGAUAAGUAAUGUGAAUUGCAGAAUUCAGUGAAUCAUCGAAUCUUUGAACGCACAUUGCGCCCGCCAGUAUUCUGGCGGGCAUGCCUGUCUGAGCGUCAUUUCAACCCUCAUGCCCCUAGGGCGUGGUGUUGGGGAUCGGCCAAAGCCCGCGAGGGACGGCCGGCCCCUAAAUCUAGUGGCGGACCCGUCGUGGCCUCCUCUGCGAAGUAGUGAUAUUCCGCAUCGGAGAGCGAUGAGCCCCUGCCGUUAAACCCCCAACUUUCCAAGGUUGACCUCAGAUCAGGUAGGAAUACCCGCUGAACUUAAGCAUAUCAAUAAGCGAGGA
rnacentral:misc_RNA from 1 species